rnacentral:lncRNA from 1 species
CAGAAACCUAGGCUGAAAUAACCAGCACUACUUGCCAAACACUUUAGAAAGAUUAUGUUUCUUCUCCAUUACAGAAGUGGAACAUAUGGUUCAGUUUGCAGCAAGAUCCUCCCAGGAAAGUGAAGCGGAGAAAAUGGAGGUAGAAACUAUUCUCCUCAUUAAACUACCUGCCCUCUGUAAUGUAGCUCUUCUGUGCUGCAGAAAUUGAUACUACACAAGAAAAGAAAUGAUGGGAGAAUAGUGAAGAAGAGAAGAACUGGCCAGGUAGCAACAUAUAAG